AUUCCGGUUGAUCCUGCCGGAGGUCAUUGCUAUUGGAGUCCGAUUUAGCCAUGCUAGUUGUACGAGUUGAGGCUCGUAGCAGAUAGCUCAGUAACACGUGGCCAAACUACCCUAUCGAGCACGAUACUCUCGGGAAACUGAGGCUAAUAGUGCAUACGGCUCGGCGUCUGGAGUGACGCGAGCCAGAAAUGCUCAGGCGCGAUAGGAUGUGGCUGCGGCCGAUUAGGUAGACGGUGGGGUAACGGCCCACCGUGCCAGUAAUCGGUACGGGUUGUGAGAGCAAGAGCCCGGAGACGGUAUCUGAGACAAGAUACCGGGCCCUACGGGGCGCAGCAGGCGCGAAACCUUUACACUGCACGCGAGUGCGAUAAGGGGACUCCAGGUGCGAGGGCAUAUAGUCCUCGCUUUUCGUGACCGUAGGAUGGUCACAGAAUAAGUGCUGGGCAAGACCGGUGCCAGCCGCCGCGGUAAUACCGGCAGCACGAGUGAUGACCGCUAUUAUUGGGCCUAAAGCGUCCGUAGCUGGCCACGCAAGUCUAUCGGGAAAUCUCUCCGCUCAACGGAGAGGCGUCCGGUGGAAACUGUGUGGCUUGGGACCGGAAGAUCCAGAGGGUACGUCUGGGGUAGGAGUGAAAUCCCGUAAUCCGAGACGGACCACCGGUGGCGAAAGCGCUCUGGAAAGACGGAUCCGACGGUGAGGGACGAAAGCUCGGGUCACGAACCGGAUUAGAUACCCGGGUAGUCCGAGCUGUAAACGAUGUCUGCUAGGUGUGACACAGGCUACGAGCCUGUGUUGUGCCGUAGGGAAGCCGUGAAGCAGACCGCCUGGGAAGUACGUCUGCAAGGAUGAAACUUAAAGGAAUUGGCGGGGGAGCACUACAACCGGAGGAGCCUGCGGUUUAAUUGGACUCAACGCCGGACAUCUCACCAGCAUCGACAGUGUGCAGUGAACGUCAGUGUGAUGAGCUUACGGGAGCCACUGAGAGGAGGUGCAUGGCCGCCGUCAGCUCGUACCGUGAGGCGUCCUGUUAAGUCAGGCAACGAGCGAGACCCGCACCCUUAAUUGCCAGCAACACCCUUGAGGUGGUUGGGU
rnacentral:rRNA from 1 species